GAUGAACGCUAGCGGCGGGCUUAAUACAUGCAAGUCGAGGGGUGGUAGCAAUACUACACCGGCGCACGGGUGCGUAACGCGUAUGCAAUCUACCUUUAUCUGGGGGAUAGCCCGGGGAAACCCGGAUUAAUACCGCAUAACAAAUUUCUUGGCAUCAAGAGCUUUUAAAAGAUUUAUCGGAUAGAGAUGAGCAUGCGUAAGAUUAGAUAGUUGGCGAGGUACCGGCUCACCAAGUCUACGAUCUUUAGGGGCUCUGAGAGGAGAAUCCCCCACACUGGCACUGAGAUACGGGCCAGACUCCUACGGGAGGCAGCAGUAGGGAAUAUUGGGCAAUGGGCGCAAGCCUGACCCAGCCACGCCGCGUGCAGGAAGAAGGCCCUCUGGGUUGUAAACUGCUUUUGACUGGGAAGAAAAGACUCCUUGCGAGGAGAGUUGACGGUACCAGCAGAAUAAGCACCGGCUAACUACGUGCCAGCCGCCGCGGUAAAAC
rnacentral:rRNA from 1 species